GGGCGCGUAGCUCAGUGGGAGAGCAUCCGCCUUACAAGCGGAGGGUCGCAGGUUCGAAACCUGCCGCGCCCA
rnacentral:tRNA from 1 species